UACGUAGGGUGCGAGCGUUACUCGGAAUUACUGGGCGUAAAGCGUGCGCAGGCGGUUUUGUCAGCCAGAUGUGAAAUCCCCGGGCUUAACCUGGGAAUGGCAUUUGGGACUGCAAGGCUGGAGUGCGGCAGAGGAGACUGGAAUUCCUGGUGUAGCAGUGAAAUGCGUAGAUAUCAGGAGGAAUACCGAUGGCGAAGGCAGGUCUCUGGGCUGACACUGACGCUCAUGCACGAAAGCGUGGGGAGCAAACAGG
rnacentral:rRNA from 1 species